rnacentral:rRNA from 1 species
GAUGAACGCUGGCGGCGUGCCUAAUACAUGCAAGUCGAGCGAACAGACGAGGAGCUUGCUCCUUUGACGUUAGCGGCGGACGGGUGAGUAACACGUGGGUAACCUACCUAUAAGACUGGGAUAACUUCGGGAAACCGGAGCUAAUACCGGAUAAUAUUUCGAACCGCAUGGUUCGAUAGUGAAAGAUGGCUUUGCUAUCACUUAUAGAUGGACCUGCGCCGUAUUAGCUAGUUGGUAAGGUAACGGCUUACCAAGGCAACGAUACGUAGCCGACCUGAGAGGGUGAUCGGCCACACUGGAACUGAGACACGGUCCAGAGUCCUACGGGAGGCAGCAGUAGGGAAUCUUCCGCAAUGGGCGAAAGCCUGACGGAGCAACGCCGCGUGAGUGAUGAAGGUCUUCGGAUCGUAAAACUCUGUUAUUAGGGAAGAACAAACGUGUAAGUAACUGUGCACGUCUUGACGGUACCUAAUCAGAAAGCCACGGCUAACUACGUG